rnacentral:rRNA from 1 species
CGUGUAGGCGGCCACUUAAGUCCUGCGUGAAAUCUCGGGGCUCAACCCCGAGCGGUCGUGGGAAACUGGGUGGCUAGAGUGCGGGAGAGGAGAGUGGAAUUCCUGGUGUAGCGGUGGAAUGCGCAGAUAUCAGGAAGAACACCCGUGGCGAAGGCGGCUCUCUGGAACGCAACUGACGCUGAGACGCGAAAGCGUGGGGAGCAAACAGGAUUAGAUACCCUGGUAGUCCACGCUGUAAACGAUGGAUGCUAGGUGUGGGCGGUGUCGACUCCGUCCGUGCCGAAGCUAACGCAUUAAGCAUCCCGCCUGGGGAGUACGGCCGCAAGGCUAAA